GUCAUACAUCCAGGGUUUCCCAUUGCCCUAGGAAAAGGGUUUUUUGGAUACCUCAUUACAAAAAAAAUGCAUGCAAGCUUGAAAUUAAUAUUUGCAUGAACUUUUGUUUUGGAAAGUGAAAUUCAAAUACUAAAUAGAUUGCUAUAGUCUAAUUAGGAAUGUAGUAGUUUCUCUUGAAAUUAGAAGGAUUCUGGACAGCUACUGACGAGAAAUUUAAACAAAAUUCAACAAAUUUUAAAUCUUAAAGUAUACAAAUAACAAAAAUAAAAUAAAACCACCCAACACUUGUGCAGCACCUUAAUCAUGCUUGCAACUGUUAUAAAGGGAACGAAACAUGAAUCAAGAAACCUGAAGGCAUAAAAUAAAUUAUAUUUCAUCCUAAAAUUUUUA
rnacentral:misc_RNA from 1 species